AACAUUUUGACACUAUUCAGCCUAUUGAUGAGGAAGCCGUCAAUGUCGAACCAUCCGAUUCAAAUCGUAAUGAUGAUUUGCCUGUUAAGGAUUCUAUAUCCCAAACGGGAGACGAUGUAACCCCUUGCUCAAAUGUGUUUAAAGUUGGCUUUACAACAUCGUU